rnacentral:rRNA from 1 species
UACGUGGGGGGCAAGCGUUGUCCGGAUUUAUUGGGCGUAAAGAGCGUGUAGGCGGCCAUACAGGUCAGCUGUGAAAACUCGAGGCUCAACCUCGAGACGUCGGUUGAAACCGUAUGGCUAGAGUCCGGAAGAGGAGAGUGGAAUUCCCGGUGUAGCGGUGAAAUGCGCAGAUAUCGGGAAGAACACCCAUGGCGAAGGCAGCUCUCUGGGACGGUACUGACGCUGAGACGCGAAGGCGUGGGGAGCGAACAGG